rnacentral:rRNA from 1 species
UACGGGGGGAGCAAGCGUUGUUCGGAUUUACUGGGCGUAAAGGGCGCGUAGGCGGCGCAACAAGUCACUUGUGAAAUCUCCGGGCUUAACCCGGAGCGGCCAAGUGAUACUGUCGUGCUAGAGUGCGGAAGGGGCUACUGGAAUUCUCGGUGUAGCGGUGAGAUGCGUAGAUAUCGAGAGGAACACCUGCGGCGAAGGCGGGUAGCUGGGCCGACACUGACGCUGAUGCGCGAAAGCCAGGGGAGCGAACGGG